CCUACGGGUGGCAGCAGUGGGGAAUAUUGGACAAUGGGGGGAACCCUGAUCCAGCCAUGCCGCGUGUGUGAAGAAGGCCCUCGGGUUGUAAAGCACUUUCAGUGAGGAAGAACGCCUGGUGGUUAAUACCCAUCAGGAAAGACAUCACUCACAGAAGAAGCACCGGCUAACUCCGGGCCAGCAGCCGCGGUAAUACGGAGGGUGCGAGCGUUAAUCGGAAUUACUGGGCGUAAAGCGCGCGUAGGUGGCUUGAUAAGCCGGUUGUGAAAGCCCCGGGCUCAACCUGGGAACGGCAUCCGGAACUGUCAAGCUAGAGUGCAGGAGAGGAAGGUAGAAUUCCCGGUGUAGCGGUGAAAUGCGUAGAGAUCGGGAGGAAUACCAGUGGCGAAGGCGGCCUUCUGGACUGACACUGACGCUGAGGUGCGAAAGCGUGGGUAGCAAACAGGAUUAGAUACCCUUGUAGUC
rnacentral:rRNA from 1 species